rnacentral:rRNA from 1 species
GUGGCGGACGGGUGAGUAAUGCUUGGGAACUUGCCUUUGCGAGGGGGAUAACAGUUGGAAACGACUGCUAAUACCGCAUAAUGUCUUCGGACCAAACGGGGCUUAGGCUCCGGCGCAGAGAGAGGCCCAAGUGAGAUUAGCUAGUUGGUAAGGUAAAGGCUUACCAAGGCGACGAUCUCUAGCUGUUCUGAGAGGAAGAUCAGCCACACUGGGACUGAGACACGGCCCAGACUCCUACGGGAGGCAGCAGUGGGGAAUAUUGCACAAUGGGGGAAACCCUGAUGCAGCCAUGCCGCGUGUGUGAAGAAGGCCUUCGGGUUGUAAAGCACUUUCAGUUGUGAGGAAAAGUUAGUAGUUAAUACCUGCUAGCCGUGACGUUAACAACAGGAAGAAGCACCGGCUAACUCCGUGCCAGCAGCCGCGGUAAUACGGAGGGUGCGAGCGUUAAUCGGAAUUACUGGGCGUAAAGCGCACGCAGGCGGUUUGUUAAGCUAGAUGUGAAAGCCCCGGGCUCAACCUGGGAUGGUCAUUUAGAACUGGCAGACUAGAGUCUUGGAGAGGGGAGUGGAAUUCCAGGUGUAGCGGUGAAAUGCGUAGAUAUCUGGAGGAACAUCAGUGGCGAAGGCGACUCCCUGGCCAAAGACUGACGCUCAUGUGCGAAAGUGUGGGUAGCGAACAGGAUUAGAUACCCUGGUAGUCCACACCGUAAACGCUGUCUACUAGCUGUGUGUGAUUUUAAAUCGUGAGUAGCGAAGCUAACGCGCUAAGUAGACCGCCUGGGGAGUACGGCCGC